rnacentral:rRNA from 1 species
CUGCUCCAGAAUAGCUCUUGGAAACGGGUGGUAAUGCUGGAUGCUCCAACUUGACGCAUGUCUUGUUGGGAAAGUGUUAGUGGCAUGGGAUGGGGUCGCGUCCUAUCAGCUUGUAGGCGGGGUAAUGGCCCACCUAGGCUUCGACGGGUAGCCGGCCUGAGAGGGCGGACGGCCACAUUGGGACUGAGAUACGGCCCAGACUCCUACGGGAGGCAGCAGAC